AUUGAACGCUGGCGGCAGGCCUAACACAUGCAAGUCGAGCGGCAGCGGAAAGUAGCUUGCUACUUUGCCGGCGAGCGGCGGACGGGUGAGUAAUGUCUGGGAAACUGCCUGAUGGAGGGGGAUAACUACUGGAAACGGUAGCUAAUACCGCAUAACGUCGCAAGACCAAAGAGGGGGGACCUUCGGGCCUCUUGCCAUCAGAUGUGCCCAGAUGGGAUUAGCUAGUAGGUGGGGUAAUGGCUCACCUAGGCGACGAUCCCUAGCUGGUCUGAGAGGAUGACCAGCCACACUGGAACUGAGACACGGUCCAGACUCCUACGGGAGGCAGCAGUGGGGAAUAUUGCACAAUGGGCGCAAGCCUGAUGCAGCCAUGCCGCGUGUAUGAAGAAGGCCUUCGGGUUGUAAAGUACUUUCAGCGGGGAGGAAGGUGUUGCGGUUAAUAACCGCAGCAAUUGACGUUACCCGCAGAAGAAGCACCGGCUAACUCCGUGCCAGCCGCCGCCGUAC
rnacentral:rRNA from 1 species